AAAUCUGGCGCAAGCCCGAGUUGUAAUUUGUAGAGGAUGCUUCUGGGUAGCGGCCGGUCUAAGUUCCUUGGAACAGGACGUCAUAGAGGGUGAGAAUCCCGUAUGUGACUGGAUUGCACCCUCCACGUAGCUCCUUCGACGAGUCGAGUUGUUUGGGAAUGCAGCUCUAAAUGGGAGGUAAAUUUCUUCUAAAGCUAAAUACCGGCCAGAGACCGAUAGCGCACAAGUAGAGUGAUCGAAAGAUGAAAAGCACUUUGGAAAGAGAGUUAAAAAGCACGUGAAAUUGUUGAAAGGGAAGCGCCCGCAACCAGACUUUGCGGCAGGGUUCGGCCGGUCUUCUGACCGGUUUACUCGCUGUCGUGAGUCCCUCAUCGUCUGGGACCGCUGGAUAAGACCUUAGGAAUGUGGCUCCCCUCGGGGAGUGUUAUAGCCUCUGGUGAUGCAGCUCGUCCCGAUCGAGGUCCGCGCUUCG
rnacentral:rRNA from 1 species